UAAAUCCCUAAUUCUCCUCACACAAUGAGCGGCUCCCUCUUCUUCUCACUUCCGCCGUCACCACCACCAUUUUUAGCAUCGCUGUCCGCCGCCGUCGCCGGCGGCGGCCCUCUCACUCUCGUUUCUUCUCUCUUUCUCUCGACCACGCUCACACCACCAUCGCCGCUGCUGUCGCUGCGCGCGCGCCGAGCCACCAUCACGCCCGCCAGCACCGCCGUCCGCCGCUGCCUCCGGAUCUUCCCCCUCCUCCCCGAUUUGCCACCGUCGCCACAACCCCAGAUCUCCUCUCUCGGGAUUUCCGCCGCCGCCACGGUGCAUGCACCGGUGGUGGCUCGGCCAUAAUCUACGCCAUCGCUGCCCCUCUCGGCCCUACGCCUACCUACACCGUUCGCCGUCCUCCAGCAGAAAGAGUGUCAUUAUCAGCGACGGAGUGUCGAAGCUUGCUAGAGGAGAUUUGGCAGAUCACUUCCUAGAGAUGAGUUCCAGUUUAUGCUUUAGUUAGUUGUUUUAAGACUCUUAGUCCUUCUGUUCCAUUAGUCUGAGGUUCUAAAUAUUUGUUAUAAGGAGUCAUGUGGAUCCUGGUGUUGACUAAUGCAUCUAUUAUAGUCCUAGGUUUCAAGUGUGAAUGUAUGUGCAUUAAAGAAGGUAAAAAGGUUUGGAGAUUACCUUAGUAGGUAGGAAGCAGAAAGUGUUGGUACGACCAGAAAGUGUUGGUACGACUUGGCUGAUCUGGAACACCUACUGUUAUUCCUUAUGUCUCCUGAAAGUUGUUGCUAUGUGGAAAAUGUUUGGGGUAUGAUAGUGAUGGGUGGCUGUAAAUGGAAAGUUUGAGGUAUAUAUAUAUGUGUGAUAAAGGGGAGAAGUUGGAUAGGUUUACUAGUUUCAUAAUUGCAUAUCAGUAGGCUUUCUUAUCAAAAAUCCUAUAGUGAUUAUGUUAUGACAGAUAUUUGAUACGUAAAUAAAUUCUUGUGAGUGGAGGUGUAUCUUUCUUUUAUUUGCAAAAUCUUAAAUAAAGAUUUGCAUUUAAUGCUGUGAAGGAAUGAGUAUAGUUGCCACCGUAGAUUUUGAUCAUGUGCAUUUAUUACACAUCUCCGGUUGCAGCCUUUGAAAAUUCUCAAAGAUUUUAUAAUAUCUACUUUUGAUCUCAUUUCUCUCUCUAGUCCCUUGAAAUUCUCUUAUUUCAGCUUUUUUCUCUACAAUACGUUAAUAAUGAUUUCUCUUCCUUCUAACCUAUUUUCUUCAUGCAGGGAUUUCUCAUUGAAUAGCAUUUUACAAUCGUGUGGACGUAUCAAGCUCCCUCGAGUUGCGGCGCGACUGUGUGAGAUAGCUGUCCGUGAUUUGCAUGUCACUCCAUUGUAAUAGAUUAGAUUUUGAACUCCCCGCAUGUGUACCGGACAUUAUAAACUUUUAUUUGAAUUUAUUCUUUUA